AUUGAACGCUAGCGGGAUGCUUUACACAUGCGAGUCGAACGGCAGCGCGGACUUCGGUCUGGCGGCGAGUGGCGAACGGGUGAGUAAUGUAUCGGAACGUGCCCAGUAGCGGGGGAUAACUACGCGAAAGCGUAGCUAAUACCGCAUACGCCCUACGGGGGAAAGCAGGGGAUCGUAAGACCUUGCACUAUUGGAGCGGCCGAUAUCGGAUUAGCUAGUUGGUGAGGUAACGGCUCACCAAGGCGACGAUCCGUAGCUGGUUUGAGAGGACGACCAGCCACACUGGGACUGAGACACGGCCCAGACUCCUACGGGAGGCAGCAGUGGGGAAUUUUGGACAAUGGGGGCAACCCUGAUCCAGCCAUCCCGCGUGUGCGAUGAAGGCCUUCGGGUUGUAAAGCACUUUUGGCAGGAAAGAAACGUCGCGGGCUAAUACCCCGUGGAACUGACGGUACCUGCAGAAUAAGCACCGGCUAACUACGUG
rnacentral:rRNA from 1 species